AUGCUUGCUUCAGCAGCACAUACACCAAGAUUGAAGUGAUACAGAGAAGAUGAGCAUGGCCCCUGCGCAAGGAAGAGACCAAGUCCGUGAAGUGUUCCAUAUUUGU
rnacentral:snRNA from 1 species